AGUAACAGAAAGGUUAGGGAGUCCCCGCUGGAAGCACAGGAGGGACAAAGCUGCCAGCAGCGAAGCGCAGACCCGAGGAGGCCGGGCAAGCGGAGCCACCGCUGGGCAUCCCGCCCCUCCCUCCCCGCCACCGGGGCACCAUUCCAGGUGCUGCUGGGCGCCCGUUGCUCAUCCCGCCCGCUGGCCGCCGCAGCACCGGGCCGGGCGGAGCGGAGCCCCAGCCCCCGGGCACACCCGCCCCGGCCGCGCAUUUCCCCCCCACGCCAGCCCCCCCGGGGAGGGGGGGGGGGCGGCGGCUCCGUUCCCGGGGCUCCGCGCUGGCACUGACAGGCGGCGGCCGCGGCGCACCUUCCCCUCCCACCGGACCCGCCGCAGCCGCCACGGGCCUCAGACCACCCGCCCCAGGCUUUUUGGCACCUUCCCCGGCUCCCGGGUCCGGGCCGCCGCGCACCUCCCCUCCCGAGGCGGGAGCUCCCGCCCGGGCCCCGCGGCGCGCAGGGACGCUGGCCCCGGCGGCGGAGGGGGAGCGCCGAGGGCUCCGCGAUGAGCCGCGACCCCGCAGGUAUCAGCAUUAUUCUUGUCAGCAGCAGAAUGCAUCAGCAGAUUUCACCAUGUGAAGCUCUGUAAGAUGAUACACCAGUGGAGGAUGUACACAGAUGGUGUCAGACAGCGUGAGCUGACACAGCAGUUGUCAGAGAGCUCAGAAAUAUUAAGACUGUCUUAGAAAGCUCUCUGCUUGGUCCACGGGGCUUGCAGAAGGCGCUCAAGGCAGAAAGUCCAGUGAAUGCUGAGAGUGGGCUGGUCUCUGGAGAACUGGAAGCAGCUAUGGACUGUUCACCACCAAGGAGCCUCUUGAGGCUGUCCUCUUUAAUAUUCAGAUGGAAAUAUGUUCAUUCAGCUGGUGAUGUGUAAAACAGAAGAUAGUGAAUAUGCAGAGUACAACCAAGUUGUUGUAACUUUACUUUGAAUUGCACAAGUAGUGCAACAGAUGAUUCUCUUUUUACAGAAGUAUUCUUGGUGGACGUUGCUGACCCACUGGCCUUAAACCAGGAAGUACUGAGCCAGGAACAGAUGUCAUGCCUCUCACUUUUGCUCUUUAACUGCAAGACUACCCUUUGCCUAAAUAUCACAGAAACCUGCAAAACAAGAAUUGCAAGCUUUAUUAAGAUACGAGCCAAAUUAAUUCUUGAGGUAAGUACACAAACCAAAUGCUGUUAGAAGACUCUCUUACUAUCUGCUGGGGGAAAUUUUCAUCCAUUAUAAUGAAACAUAGCUAAAAAUAUCCUUAUUGUAAGAACACUGGAACUGUAUUUGAGGCAGUACACUUACAGAGGAUGAUUAAUUGAUUUGUCACCAGCAGUAACACUUCUUGAGUAAUGCAUUUUCACUCACAGUUGCACCCUAUUUCCAUUUCAGCUAAGGGAGAGUCCAGGAUAUGGUUUGAAGUUCCUUCAAAUACACAGUUUUGGUUUGUUCAGGGGAAUUUACUGGCUGUAUCAGUCACAAAAACUUUUGAUGACAGUAAGUCUACAGAUUGCCACCAAGAAUAAACUUUGAGUUUCCUAGCCUCAUGGACAGUACCAGAAGUACAACCAGCAAAACACAAGAAAAAAGUUAGAAAAGUUGUAUUACAAUUGUUUUGUCAGUCUGAAAUUCCCAAGUCCUGUUACAAAGACUCAUACAGAAGCCAUGUUCUGGUACUUUAAAAAGAAGUAAAGAUUAGAUGAAAAAAAUGAGGUUAUAUGAUUUUCUCUCUGCAUUCUUUCUUAGUGACAUGGAUCUGUUGUUUGGCUGGGUUUUUUUAAUGCAGUGUAGGCAAACUCAUGAUUUAGAAGCUCUGAGUACUUCCUUAGCUACAUACAUUAUUUUUCUUCCCUUUAUCACAUGAAAAGAGUAGGAAUUAAAACUAGAAGUAUGACUACUUGUGAACAGGAUUGUAAUGUAUCCGAGGCAACCAAAGGCCAUGAAAAUUAUGCUGAACUAUGACAGCAGAGAUGAAAAAAAGUAAUUAAUGGGAAGAAAUGUUAUUAUGAGUUCAAAGCUUGUUGGCAAUGUUGAUGUUUUUACAUUGCUGUAAAACAAAUACCAGAAUGAGAGUUGGCAGAAGUUUUAGUAAGACACUAUAGCAUAACAGGCAGAGAUAGGCCUGAAAGGCUCGUCCCCUUUUUGAACCUCGGUGCUGAUGCAAUCUAGCCUGGUUUAGUUCUGCAUAAAAUACAGCAGGUUAUAAAACACACAGCACAGACAUGCAAAUACAGCACACAAAAUACAAAUAAAACCACGUAAAGUCCAUCUUAAAUGAACUGCACUUAACAACACCGAGCAAAAGACAUACAUUGUUACUCAUAUUCUAAUAAAAGAAACCUAACUACAGUGCUAUAAUAUUAGAUUUACAAGCUUGAGGAAAGGUCAAUCCAAAGCGUCUCCACCGUCAGCCUCGCACCGACGUUUUACCCCCAAGUCCCAGGGCCCGGUGGGACUUUCUUGCUCUUGUAACCGACGGACAGGAAGGGAAAGACAUUUCAACAUAAAGUUGAAACGGUGGAAUUUU